UUACAUACGGAAAAUCCGUAUAUAAUGUGCGGAAAACUUUAUAUACGGAUUUUCUGUAUAUAAUAUCCGCGAGUAAUGAAUAAUUAAAAAAUAAAAGUUAAUAUUAUAAUCUGGUUAAAAGACUCUUCUCUCACUUUUCUCACUCCCUCCCUCGAACUAACUUUGUCCCCCUUCUCGAGCCCUAGCCUGUUUCUGCAUUGCCUCUUUCUCGACCCCGCUCAUUCUCACUCACUGCCAUCGUCAUUCUCACUCACUGCCAUCAUCAUUCUCACUCACUGCAACCAUCAUUCUCACUCACUGCAACCAUUAUUCUGGAGGCUUCUUCUCUUUCGUCGACCCUUCUUCUCGUUCUUGUGUUGUCACCCUCGUCGAGCCUUNUUCUCCUUCNCCGACCGUUCUUGUCUGUGCUACUGUUCUCCUCAAUCGUGAAUUCUACCACCUCCGUUAUAAUUUGUUGCUAGUUCUUAUCUGUAGUUGUCGUUUUCCAUGAGUGGAACUGGAGUUGUGCCCCUACUGGAACCCUAGUUGUGUGGUAGUGGAACCCUAGUUGUUGCGGAGUUCUUGAAUUGGUAAGUCAUGUUAAUUAAUUUCUAAAAACGUUAAUUUCAGAAACCCUAAUCUCAUUUUUUUGACUUCCAUACAUAUCCUUAAGUGUUUGAUCAGUCUAGGAUAUCUCAUUGGGAAGGCUUAAGUGUUGUAGAGUCAAGCAAAGGAUCAAUUGAAGUAAGGUAUGUUUACUGGUGACUUUUCCCCUAUCUUGUUUUGUUUGNUCCAUGUGUGUAUGGUGCGAUUGUCCUGUCUAUGGUGUGAUUGCUUUCCAGUCCUAAUUUCAAACAAAUCUCUAGAUGAUUUUGAUAGUUCCUU
rnacentral:lncRNA from 1 species